CUCAGGUGUUUUCCGCCUGGCGAGACAUUGACCGCGGCCCGGGCACGGAGCCGCGCGGGGCUGAGGAGAGGGCGCGGACCGGGCACUGCGGAAGGGCCAUUUCGCCGCUGCAACUUUCCGCCUCGGCUUUUCUUUCCCCCUUCGCCUGCCCUAAGUGGCUCAAGAGUCACUGCCUUGUAAAGUCAGCGAGUCUGAGGACAGCAGUUUUGGAUAGAAAAUACAGGCGUUGCCUGAUAAAUGAAUGAACACCGCACUACACAGCCUUGCAGUCCAAGGUAAAAGCAUUAGAGUGAAAAAUGCUGUGGAGGUUGCUCCUUUCUUAGGGCACUGAUAAGGGAGGCAGAAAUGAAAAUGGAAAGCUGGUGCACACUGACUCAGUCUUAAAAUGAAAAAUCAUUUCAACACUACUUCCAGAGCAGUCACUGUGGGUCAAAGAAGAAAUUCAAUUAUACGUUUUAUUUCUGCCAAGUAGCAUUGUUUUAAAAAUAUUCAUGCUAUACUGGCAAAAGUGAUUUUAUGAAAUAUUUCUGUGUGCAGGAAAGACAUACCCUCAUAUAAAGCAAAUCUGAGAAGUACAUUGUUCACUUGCUCGGUUGCACCGCAGCUCUGACAACAAAGACGUUUUCUGCUUUGUGUACUCUAUAUAAUUGCUUGGGUGUAGGCUGCAUUCAAGAUAAAAAAUUUUUGUUCUUCUCCCACCUCAGGAAAUAAAAAAAUACAACCUAGAUGAGAAGCACAAGACAGGAAACUUAAAACUAAGCUUAGACUUUUGCAUCUGCUGAAAUAAAUUAUUAAAUUGCUUCAUGGUUUUUAAUAAAAAUUGAAUGUGGGACAGCCUAGAGAAAAAUUGAAUUACAGUAUAUUAGAGUCAGGUAAAAAAAAAACAUUGGAAAGGAACAUCAUUUCAGGCCAUGCCUUCAUAAAUAAUGUUUUAAUUACAAGCAAAUUUUGUUUUUUCAAAGUUUAUUAACAAAAAAUCUGAUCCUUGUCAUGAAAUAAGGUUGUGUUUCGAUAUAUUCAAUCCAGGUGGAGUCAUGAAAAUUUUAUCCAUCUUAUCAAGCUCUUUUCUUCUGUUUGGAAAGUGUCCAAAAUGUAAAACUAACUGAAAUAUCUUUCCACAUGUUCAGAUAAAUGUGCAUGUCAAUAUCACAAAGCUAUGUAUGAUUCAUUCAUCUUCAUUUCACUUACUCCCUCUGCUGGGAAUUAGCAUGAAAGUUCAGUGGAUCAGAGGAAAGAUCAUUAAGAGUGCAAUAUACAUUUAAAAGCCCCUUUUGCUCCUUUUAUUAAAAGAUCACACUUCUUUACAGACUCCUCAUUCUGUAUCAGUAAAUCAAUUUGCAUUUCUUGUUGCAGGGCUAUUAAUUCCAAAAUUACGUGGAAGGAGAAGCUAAUGCAAAUAAACUAGUUAAAUACUGAGUAUAUACUGAGUUCUUAUGCAUUCUGCUCUAUCACUAUAACUGCCAAUAUCAAAGAUAUUAUAAACAUAAUAAUAAAGAUAAUAAUAUAGGUAAUAAUAAAUAUAGAAAAGCAACUGAGUAACAGCAUUGCUAAACUGUGUCUGAUGCUGAUAGCCAUGUUGCUAAUACUGCACUGCCUACACUGACACCGACAAAAUUAGUUGGUCCAAGAAGAAAUGAAGGGGAUAGAACAAAAAAUUCAGUUGUAGUACUACCAAAGACAACCCCUUACCAUGAACAUUUUUAUGCUCAAAGAAUAAAACCACUUGCUUUAACACUGACAGCAGAAUCUUAACUCUGAUUACAAGUUGCUGAAAUUCAAGCUUUAUUAGUGACUGAAAAGAAGGAAAAGAAAAGAUGGAAUGCUGGCAGUGGUCAACAAGGCAGAGACCAACAGAUGUUACAUUCUAAUGGAGAUACCACUCUGUAUCCAUAAAUCCUGUUUCUUCUAGUAUACAGAAAAGGUAAUAGGGAGGAGGAUACCAGAGGUACUGAAUUCUUCCUUCUACAAACCCUGUAAACCAGUUAUGCUCAAGUGAAAUACCUUCUAAUGAGUAGUGGGGCCAGUUUCCAUUGCCAUAGGUAAGGAAACUAAGUGAAAAACAACUCUAUAAUCAGUGGCUAAAAAUUAUCACUAAUACUUUUACAAAUACUAUAGGCUUCUUUGUUAGGCAAACCACAUUAUUUUAGGUUGUAACAGUAUUACAGCUGAAUUUAAAACACUCUUAUUUUUUAUAAAACCACAAAUUGUAUUUUCAGGUUUGCCUAUGUAAAAAUAUUGCAGUAAGAGGCAAAAAAUAUGCAUAAAAAUCAAGUAUAGCAUUGUUCAUGGUUGCAACUGUCACACCCCCCCUGUUCAUGGUUGCGACUGUCACAAGAGCAAACAAAUGAUAAAUAGAUUUUUUUUUUCGAUGUAGGUUUCUUUCCAAUCAAAAUAUUGUAACUAAGCAACGAUGAGAAAAUCCCAUCUAACCCACAUCAUGAGGAAACAGUGUGUAACACAUUUCAGGCUGGGCAUAUACAACAGUAAUUCCUGGGUAUUGAAAAUAUUAAGACAUAUUUAGAGCAUUUACAACCAAAAAUAAAGAACUGUAAAAGCUCUGAGGUAAUUUUUGGCCUUUUAGAUAUUAAAAUAUACUAUUGGGGUACUGCAUAAAAUUCCCAAUCAACAAACCCCGUUCUAGUCCUCUUGGGGUAUUACUACAGACAUUGCCAACAAGCAAGUUUAUUGUCAAAUAAAACAUAUUGUUUUCAAACUUCAGCAGAUUCAAUUAAUUUUUUCCUUUUUUUUCUUUCUUUCACCUUCUGACUUAGAUCAGACAUAGCAGGAUUGCCACUACAGUGAUCCUGCUCUCUGAAUAUACUCACUUGAAUUUUUUUUCCUUAACCAUCAAAAAUUAUGCAGCAAUUAAUUGCUGUCAGAAGUCACUUGAAGUCUCUGUGUCAUCACCGUUGACAAAAGUUCUUUUGGCUCCAUCCAUGAUCAUGUAAUCCCCUUGCAAUUUUCCUGCAAAAAAUUGAAGUUUUCAUUUCCAAAACAUUUUUUAAGGAAAGGCUAACCCUAAUAGAAAGGCUAUUACUUUAUCAGAGUACUCAAGAAAAAGCAGGUUUAUUACCUCUUUGUAUUAAUAACCUCAUAUUUCCUUAUUCCUCUCUGCAAAAGAGAAGGAUUUUUAAGUCCAAAUUGCUUAAGAAUCUUCUGCUUUUACUUUUUAGGUGAGCACCUAGCACCUCUUUACUGACUUCUUUAUAAUAUAACAUGGAAAAGCAUCACUAUUGCAACUAAAGAAUUACGUCUAAGGACACGGGCCUCUGCACAGCAUAUCCACUCCCAAAAAGAACUCCUUUUAUCUGUACUAAGUUUAUGUGAUAUCUGCUUCUCAUCUUCUAGAUGGUAGGGUAUUAGUUUUAUAGACCAAGAUCCCAUGUCUCAAACUGUUUUGUAAGCAUCUUCUAGAAAAAAAAAAAAAAUCAAUUAGACAGUAUGAUUACAAAACAACAAAUCUCUUUCUCAUCUUCCGGGAUAAUGAAAUUAUCAUCUUCUCUCAUCUGGGAAAAGUGUACAAUAUGCCUUUUAAUGACUGCAUAAUGUGGCAAUGGUUAAUAUAAUUAUGUCUGUUCCUACAGUCUUUAUUACUUGCAAGCUGUCCCAUUAACACUGGUGAUUGCUGGUAUGACUUCUGUGCCUGCCUGCCAAAUAAGGAAUGAAGAACCAGGACCUCCAAAUUAAAUUAGUUCACCUGUACU
ensembl:lncRNA